GCCGCGGUGCUGGAAUUGGUAGACAGGCACGGCUUAGAACCGUGUGUCUUUGACGUGAGAGUUCGAGUCUCUCCCGCGGCACCA
rnacentral:tRNA from 1 species